rnacentral:rRNA from 1 species
AUUGAACGCUGGCGGCAUGCCUUACACAUGCAAGUCGAACGGUAACAGGUCUUCGGAUGCUGACGAGUGGCGAACGGGUGAGUAAUACAUCGGAACGUGCCCGAUCGUGGGGGAUAACGCAGCGAAAGCUGUGCUAAUACCGCAUACGAUCUACGGAUGAAAGCAGGGGACCGCAAGGCCUUGCGCGGACGGAGCGGCCGAUGGCAGAUUAGGUAGUUGGUGGGAUAAAAGCUUACCAAGCCGACGAUCUGUAGCUGGUCUGAGAGGACGACCAGCCACACUGGGACUGAGACACGGCCCAGACUCCUACGGGAGGCAGCAGUGGGGAAUUUUGGACAAUGGGGGAAACCCUGAUCCAGCCAUGCCGCGUGCAGGAUGAAGGCCUUCGGGUUGUAAACUGCUUUUGUACGGAACGAAAAGAUCUCUUCUAAUAAAGGGGAUUCAUGACG